GACGAACGCUGGCGGCGUGCUUAACACAUGCAAGUCGAACGAUGAACUUGGAGCUUGCUCUGGGGGAUUAGUGGCGAACGGGUGAGUAACACGUGAGUAACCUGCCCUGGACUCUGGGAUAACUUCGAGAAAUCGGAGCUAAUACCGGAUAGGACCUUGCACCGCAUGGUGUGGGGUGGAAAGUUUUUCGGUUUGGGAUGGACUCGCGGCCUAUCAGCUUGUUGGUGAGGUAAUGGCUCACCAAGGCGUCGACGGGUAGCCGGCCUGAGAGGGUGACCGGCCACACUGGGACUGAGACACGGCCCAGACUCCUACGGGAGGCGGCAGUGGGGAAUAUUGCACAAUGGGCGCAGGCCUGAUGCAGCAACGCCGCGUGCGGGAUGACGGCCUUCGGGUUGUAAACCGCUUUUAGUAGGGAAGAAGCCUUCGGGUGACGGUACCUGCAGAAAAAGGACCGGCUAACUACGUGCCAGCCGCCGCCGUAAUAC
rnacentral:rRNA from 1 species